GCUCCGCGCCGCGCCGGUGGGUGAGCGCGGCCGGCCCCGCUGCCGCCUCGAAGCCACCCUCCUCCUCCUCCUCCUCGCCGGGAAGCCUAGGUGACCCGCGGCCGCGUGUGUGCGGGGGCGUCCGCGUUUCCCUCCGCGCCUGCAUGGAGUUUCUUAUCUUCUAGGCACGUAAGUUGAUGGAAAUUGCUGCAUCUGUAACCCUAAAACUGACGGAUUUGUACUGUAGUCAGCGAAAACAUGACUUCUGAAAGAAGUUGGCCAGUGACUGACAGAUACCCAGAUCAAAGCAAAUUGUUGGAAAAUAGAGCCUGAAGAACAGAACCAUUGAAGCAGAUUGUUAUAUGGCUCCUGUCAGCUCAAAAGCAAACAACAACAAAAUCAAGAGAAAGCAAUUCCUUUCCAAGACACAGUGGAGCCUGAUACUGUGGUUACUCUGUGGAUGAUGGUGGAGACAGUGGUAGGCUGCAGAGGCAUCCACAACUAUUCAGUCGCUGCACUUUGGGAAGGGAAAGCUCAGCCCCAUCUUGAAGAUUCUUGUGACACACUGGAAAAAAAAUUCUUACUGGAGGCACUACAGAUAGAGUCAAGCCCUGAGCGCCCUGAUCUGAUCUCAUAGCUGACCCUGCUGUGAGCAGGAGUUGGACUAGAUACCUCCAACCUGAAUUCCCCUGUGACCUGAUGAAAGAGGAAAGGCUCUCUGCUAGGACUCACUUCCACCACACAAAGAGAUACUGGAAUUGAAGGGAACAGAGAGCAUUAACUCCUGCUGUUAGACAUAGCUCCUCUCUCAGCCAAGAGAUGGAGCUACCUCUCCCGCCAAAACUGUGCUUGCUCAGUAGAGAAAGGGGAAAUUAGACCAGUCAAAACGUCACUUUGCCCCUCAAAUCCUUUUCUGAAAGGCAUCCAUGAAACUCUCUCUUCCUCCUUGAAAAAAUAGUCUUGUCGAGUUGAACAAAGCCCCUCAGGAUAUUUCUCACCAGGCUGCCAAUGGGAAUCAGAAGAUCUCUCAGUGUGGCAAGACUCACGACAUAUCUCCCAAGCCAGGCUGGAGAGGAAUAACCAAGGUUUUCGCAUUUGGCCAUCUUAGGCUCAAGCAUAAGCCCAUCAAAAGUCUGACAAUGAAACCUUCUCUGCAAAUGCAGUCUGUACAACUGUAAUUAUUUUAAUGAAGAUUGUGAUUUUUAUUAUCUGAUAGCUGAGAGGCAGACCAACAUAUCCAUUGCCAGCCAUGCAGUUUUCCCCUGUAGAAAGAGGGACUUCUACCAUUUCCCACUCAAGCACCACAUUUACAAGACAGUCUGUGAGCACAGAUGCUCAGCUUCCCUAGGGGUCAGACACACAAAUGAAUGAAAAGCUUAAAAUGUUCAACAUUAAGCUUAGUUAACAUUAGUUAAUCCCACCCUCACCACCAACUCUGAGGUAAAACACUUUAGCUUAAGUGUCUUUCAUGGGGGUCUUCUCUUCACGGGUGGCCAAAGUCACAUCACCUCACAGCUGGGGCAGGCUCAGAGUAUUUGUAAGGACAUCUACUGGCAGGAGCUCAGCAGAGGUGCAAUAACUUCUUGAGCUGCCGUAUCUUGUCACUUCAGAGCUUUUAGCUUCAUUCCUAGUUUACAUUUCAGAGACAGCCUCUGGCUUGUAUCAGCUUCAUCACAGACUGGAGGGAGGACUGUGAGCCUCCAGAAGCCAGCACAGCUGCACAUGCACUGAGAUUUUGCCAUUUCUUUGCAUGCACACUUUUAUCACAAUACCUACUCAGUUACUGACAGAGGAUCAAACAGUUAAAAAUCAUCUCCUGAUGACAGUUCCCAAUGUCUCUUUCUUUAUCCUCUUAGAGCUAUCAAAUUAGUUGAGCAUAGCUCACAUCAUUAGAUCAUGUCUUAAUAGCUGUAUUUCUCUUAUUUCAGAAAGCUUUUCUGUGCUGGUCAGUGCUUCCACAAAAGACAGAGGUCCUCAGGGGGAAAGAAGAGAUGCUGGUUUGUUGAGACAAUCAGCAAUUUUGAAGACACUGAAAUCUCACCAAGCUCUGUAGGAAUAUGUACUGUCUAGUUGUGUAAUAAAAUUCAAUAAAGACAUUGAGAGUCUGGGGAGCUGUGAAGUGCAUCUAUCUCCAUAUCUUCAAUUUCUUUGUCUCUUUUCUGGAUUGUCACAUGGCUAAAUUUUAAUUAGAAUAAACUGUUAUGAUUGCC